rnacentral:rRNA from 1 species
UGAGGAAUAUUGGUCAAUGGGCGGGAGCCUGAACCAGCCAAGCCGCGUGAGGGAUGAAGGCCCUAUGGGUCGUAAACCUCUUUUGUCAGGGAACAAAAGCGAGUAUGUAUACUAGUCUGAGUGUACCUGAAGAAAAAGCAUCGGCUAACUCCGUGCCAGCAGCCGCGGUAAUACGGAGGAUGCGAGCGUUAUCCGGAUUUAUUGGGUUUAAAGGGUGCGUAGGCGGCGAUGCAAGUCAGCGGUAAAAGCCCGGGGCUCAACCCCGGCGAGCGUUGAAACUGCAGUGCUAGAGAAGGCGAGAGGUACGCGGAAUGCGCAGUGUAGCGGUGAAAUGCUUAGAUAUUGCGCAGAACUCCGAUUGCGAAGGCAGCGUACUGGCGCCUGACUGACGCUGAGGCACGAAAGCGUGGGGAUCGAACAGGAUUAGAUACC